rnacentral:rRNA from 1 species
GAGGCCUACGGGAGGCAGCAGUGGGGGAUAUUGCACAAUGGGGGAAACCCUGAUGCAGCGACGCCGCGUGGGCGAAGAAGUAUUUCGGUAUGUAAAGCCCUAUCAGCAGGGAAGAAGAAAUGACGGUACCUGACUAAGAAGCCCCGGCUAACUACGUGCCAGCAGCCGCGGUAAUACGUAGGGGGCAAGCGUUAUCCCGAUUUACUGGGUGUAAAGGGAGCGUAGACGGCUGCGCAAGUCAGAAGUGAAAGCCCGGGGCUCAACCGCGGGACUGCUUUUGAAACUGUGCAGCU